ensembl:lncRNA
UAGGAAAAGCAUCUGAAUCUCUGCUGGCUAUCUCUUCUCCUGGUUUGGUUCAUUCUUGUCUUGAUUAACACAACUGAAAGCUUCAAAUUUUCACAGCUUUUAGAUUCUCUGAGGCACCUUCAUGACCAAUCACGAUAUCUCCUCAUUUCAGAGUUAAUGAGUCAGAAAGAUGAAAGUUGCUUCCAUUCUUGUUCUUCUGCUUCCACUGUAGCAAUUGUUGCUGUUCUUCAAGUUUUCUGAAGGGCUGAGUUACAUGAAACAGAUUUGGCUGCGAAAUUCUAUAAGAAAUUCUCAUAUAAUGACUGAUUGCCUUCUUACUAAUGGCAAGACAUUAUGUAGUUGCUUAUAUCUGUGAAUUAAUGUGGAAAACAAAAGCAGUGGGAAAAGACUAAUUGCAAAUAGAUUCUGCACUCUGAAUUGUGAAAGCUUCUGUGAAACAUAUACAUCUUUAUAUGUGUGUAUAUAUAACAUCAAAACACACUCAUACUUUUACUGAAAGUGUUCUUGGGUAACAUUCUUGCUUCAGGAGAAAGUUACAAAAUUAAGAUGCUUAGAAAAUGUAUUACACCUUUAUCCUUAGAUAAUAGCUGAUGUCCUCAUAGCUGAUUGUGAAUAAAAUACCUACCAGGGUGUUAGUUGAGCA